GUGACCUGCGGAAGGAUCAUUAUUGAAUUAGUGAGGGCUCGUCUGCUGGCCCCUUCGGGGGCUUGUGCACGUCCGAGCCGUUUAAAUCAACACCUGUGAACUCACCGUAGGCCUUCGGGCUUAUGUAUCAUAUAUAUAUAUACUCAGAUCAUAGAAUGUACAUUUCGCCUUUAAAAAGCAAUCAAAUACAACUUUCAACAACGGAUCUCUUGGCUCUCGCAUCGAUGAAGAACGCAGCGAAAUGCGAUAAGUAAUGUGAAUUGCAGAUUUUCAGUGAAUCAUCGAAUCUUUGAACGCACCUUGCGCUCCUUGGUAUUCCGAGGAGCAUGCCUGUUUGAGUGUCAUUAAAUCCUCAACCCCGUCCGUCGGUCGGGGCUUGGACUUUGGAGCGUGCUGGCGAAGGUCGGCUCCUCUUUAAAUGCAUCAGCGGAGAAAAACAAACCUUUUUUCCCCCUUCAGCGUGAUAACUGUGUUGCGCUGUGGUCGCAAAAGGGUCCGCUCAUAAUCGUCCUCGGACAAACACCGAAUCUGUUU
rnacentral:rRNA from 1 species